rnacentral:rRNA from 1 species
UACGUAGGGGGCAAGCGUUGUCCGGAAUCAUUGGGCGUAAAGCGCGUGUAGGCGGUCCGGUAAGUCCGCUGUGAAAGUCGGGGGCUUAACCCUCGGAUGCCGGUGGAUACUGUCGGGCUUGAGUACGGAAGAGGCGAGUGGAAUCCUGGUGUAGCGGUGAAAUGCGCAGAUAUCAGGAGGAACACCGGUGGCGAAGGCGGGUCUCUGGGCCGAUACUGACGCUGAGGAGCGAAGCGUGGGGAGCAAACAGGAUUAGAACCGG